rnacentral:rRNA from 1 species
AACGAACGCUGGCGGCAGGCUUAACACAUGCAAGUCGAACGAGAUCUUCGGAUCUAGUGGCAGACGGGUGAGGAACACGUGGGAACAUCCCUUUCAGUUCGGAAUAACGUUGGGAAACUAACGCUAAUACCGGAUACGUCCUUCGGGAGAAAGAUUUAUCGCUGAAAGAUUGGCCCGCGUCUGAUUAGCUAGUUGGAGAGGUAACGGCUCACCAAGGCUACGAUCAGUAGCUGAUCUGAGAGGAUGAUCAGCCACAUUGGGACUGAGACACGGCCCAAACUCCUACGGGAGGCAGCAGUGGGGAAUAUUGGACAAGGGGCGCAAGCCUGAUCCAGCCAUGCCGCGUGAGUGAUGACGGCCUUCGGGUUGUAAAGCUCUUUUGUCCGGGAAGAUAAUGACUGUACCGGAAGAAUAAGCCCCGGCAAACUUCGUGCCAGCAGCCGCGGUAA